rnacentral:tRNA from 1 species
CCGAUGUAGCUCAGUUGGUCAGAGCAGCUGAUUUGUAAUCAGCAGGUCGUGGGUUCGACUCCCUCCAUCGG